rnacentral:rRNA from 1 species
GACGAACGCUGGCGGCGUGGAUUAGGCAUGCAAGUCGAACGGUAUCAUCCUUUCGGGGGUGAGAGAGUGGCGAACUGGUGAGUAACACGUAGGUUAUCUACCCUCAAGACGGGGACAACCCAGGGAAACUUGGGCUAAUACCGGAUGUGAGCAACUUUUAGUUGUUUGAAAGGUGGCGUAAGCUGUCGCUUGGGGAUGAGCCUGCGUCCUAUUAGUUAGUUGGUGAGGUAACGGCUCACCUAGGCAAUGAUAGGUAGGCGGCCUUAACGGGUGGUCGCCCACACUGGGAUUGAGAUACGGCCCAGACUCCUACGGGAGGCAGCAGUCGAGAAUAGUCUACAAUGGUCGGAAGACUGAUAGUGCGACGCCGCGUGAACGAAGAAUCCCUUCGGGUGUAAAGUUCCUUUAUACGUGAGCAGUGCCCUUUAUAUGAAUAGUAUAGAGGGAGGGAUUUAAGCGUAUGAAUAAGCAACGGCUAACUCCGUG